rnacentral:rRNA from 1 species
CGAGACGGGGUCCGCACGCCGGGGUAAAGCUGGCAGCUGUAGUUGUAGCGUGUUUUAUUGGGCCUAAAGCGUUCGUAGCCUGUUUGAUAAGGCUUUGGUGAAAGCUUGUAGCUUAACUAUAAGAAUUGCUGAAGAUACUGUCCGACUUGAAGUCGGGAGAGGUUAGAGGUACUACCGGGGUAGGGGUGAAAUCCUAUAAUCCUGGGAGGACCACCUGUGGCGAAGGCGUCUAACUGGAACGAUCUUGACGGUGAGUAACGAAAGCCAGGGGCGCGAACCGGAUUAGAUACCCUGGUAGUC